CCUACGGGAGGCAGCAGUGGGGAAUCUUGCGCAAUGGGCGAAAGCCUGACGCAGCAACGCCGCGUGCGGGAAGAAGGCUUUCGGGCUGUAAACCGCUUUCAGCAGGAACGAAAAUGACGGUACCUGCAGAAGAAGGAGCGGCCAACUAUGUGCCAGCAGCCGCGGUGAUACAUAGGCUUCAAGCGUUGUCCGGAUUUAUUGGGCGUAAAGAGUUCGUAGGCGGUCGAGUAAGUCGGGUGUGAAAAUUCUGGGCUCAACCCAGAGACGCCACCCGAUACUGCUUAACUUGAGUUCGAUAGGGGAGUGGGGAAUUCCUAGUGUAGCGGUGAAAUGCGCAGAUAUUAGGAGGAACGCCGGUGGCGAAGGCGCCACUCUGGAUCGAUACUGACGCUGAGGAACGAAAGCAUGGGUAGCAAACAGGAUUAGAUACCCUGGUAGUCCAUGCCGUAAACGGUGGGCACUAGGUGUGGGAUUCUAUUAACGAAUUCCGCGCCGUCGCUAACGCAUUAAGUGCCCCGCCUGGGGAGUACGGUCGCAAAGCUAAAACUCAAAGGAAUUGACGG
rnacentral:rRNA from 1 species